rnacentral:rRNA from 1 species
GCGCAGCAGGCGCGAAACCUCCGCAAUGCGGGAAACCGCGACGGGGGACCCCGAGUGCCGUGGCAACGCCACGGCUUUUCCGGAGUGUAAAAAGCUCCGGGAAUAAGGGCUGGGCAAGGCCGGUGGCAGCCGCCGCGGUAAUACCGGCGGCCCGAGUGGUGGCCGCUAUUAUUGGGCCUAAAGCGUCCGUAGCCGGGCCCGUAAGUCCCUGGCGAAAUCCCACGGCUCAACCGUGGGGCUUGCUGGGGAUACUGCGGGUCUUGGGACCGGGAGAGGCGGGGGUACCCCUGGGGUAGGGGUGAAAUCCUAUAAUCCCCAGGGGGACCGCCAGUGGCGGAGGCGCCCCGCUGGAACGGGUCCGACGGUGAGGGACGAA